rnacentral:lncRNA from 1 species
CAAAGUGCUGGGAUUACAGGCAUGAGACCGGCACUCGGCCUGGACUGGCAUUCUUAUAAGAAGAGACACCAGAGAGCUUGCUGUCUCUCCAUCUGCACACGGAAGAAAGGCCACGUGAGAACACACUGAGAAGGUGGCCUCACCUGUCACCAAUCCUGAAGCUAGUCCUCAAUCUGGUCCGGUGUCCAAGCCCCGCCUCUGGAGUAGAGUCCUGUCUCCUACUUCAGAACCAGCAAUGGAGAGUGGAGAGCAGCAGCCACUAACGGAAGAGGGAAACCAAGAGACUAUGGCAUGGCAUCCUAGAAACCACGGGAAGAAAGGACAACAAGGAGAAGGGAGUGACUGUGUCAAAUGCUGCUGAUAGGUCCAGAAAGAUGAGGACAGAACAUACUGCCUAUUAGGUUUUGCAACAUUAAAUGACUGUUUUGC